GAAUUAUAAUUCUCUUUGAUCUUUUUUGAGAAAUGAGAGUUGCUUGUAGCUUUCCAGACCGUGGUCCUUUUUAUUGCUAAAAUUGUUCUUAUGGAAUCUGAAACUUCUUGUAUCUCCUUGAAUAGGAAGAUUAUCUUCAUAUAUGAAUGCAGUUGAGUCUUGUUUAUCAGUUUUCUGCUGUGUUCUCUUGUAGCAUCUUUCUUAUUAGCUAUCACCUCAGGACUGCUGAAAGAUUUGACCCCAGAGAACAUGCUUGGACAAAAAUUUAGAGUAUGAGCACAAAAAGAGCAUCUCAAGCGUUGGUUCCUUUGCGGGGAAAGUUAUAUGCACCUGGUGGCUUUGAUGGUCUCAAAUGAUGCCAAGCGUUGAGAUAUAUGAUCCCCGUCGUGGAACAUGGAUGAUUGGGGAACCAAUGAACUACUCAAGGGGAUCUUCAACUGCUGCUGUUCUAAAGGAGUCCAUUUAUGUAAUUGGAGAGGCUCAAACUGAUAAUGAAACAGUAGACACGAUUGCACGCUACAAAGAAGAUCAAGGUUGGGAAACAACCAGCUUGAGGUUGUCCAAAACGUGGAAAGAAUUGGUAACCAGGGGUUGCAUUUUGUGUGGAUUACCACUAUAUCAAUGCUGGUUUGAGAAAAUCAGAGUUUGCAUGAGUUAUUGUGGUAUCAUGGACCUUGAGAAAAGAUAUAAAAUCGUGUCUCUCUUCAAUACACAACACACAAAUAAACACAAAUGGACAUCAUUUUAAACUCUGAAUAGAAUGUGUCUAGUAGUAAAAUACAGUAAUGCAAUGCGCCCUUAUCUUUUCAACUCCAAAAACAAACACCAGAGUCUCUUAUGUAUGUUUUUGUAUUACUGAUUGGUAAGGAGAAGCAGAUAGGGAAAAAAAGCUAAAAGGGAAACUUCAGCAAGGUGUUUACAGGAUUCGUAGAGCAGUGUCAACUACAUUCAGAUUCACAUUUGUAUAAAUAUAUAUGUCAGGUGCAACGCAUAAUUUCCUCAAAUACAUAAUAUGCUAUCCUAGUGUCCGAGAGGAAUGAAGACCGAAAACACAUUUGCCUUCUUAUCUACAUCUAGAAGCCUGGACUCCAACCAAUCGCUUUACACUCUCUCUUCUAUAGGAAAUAAUCUCCUAUUUUUUGGAAUAUUCCUGGGGCAAGAAGGUUUCUAACCUGUAAACCACUAGCUACUCACCCAUUGCUUCCUAGCAGUUCUAUUACUAGAUAAGUAAACACCUCAAUGACUAUCUUGUCUUCUAAUACUACAAUACAAUCAUACUAUUUAUCAACCAUUAGAGUUCAAUAAACUUCUUCUCGCUUUACGCCCUCAGAUCACAGCUUUGACUCCACAUAAGAUAGAGCUUUGCUAUAUAAGUUAGUUUGUCUUGAGCCUCAAAUGGAUGGAAUCUUUUUAUGUGACUAGAGAUUAGGAAGAGAACAAAGAAUGCCAAGGAAGAUUUUAAUAGAAUUCACCACAGUCAAAUUAGGAGAGUUUUACAACUAAUUAGAUUCGCCUCCAAUAUGAAGAGAUUUGCAACUUAAAGAUUAUUUCAAAGAGCUUUGCAACUUCAAGAUUAGCUUGAAGUUGAAGAGUUUCAUGACAAGUUUAAGCUUGUGUGUCAAUGAGCAUUUUAAUUUGAAGAUUUAGCUCGAAUUUGAUGAGCUUUAUAACUUGUUGUUUAGACUCGUGCGUCGAGGAUCAUUUCGACAUGAAGUCUUCGCUCGAAUUUGAUGAACUUACACACUAGUAACGCAUUUUAAAGUCAUACGUACUUAAGCCCAAUGCGAACAUUAUCACUAGCAGACUGGGCCGUUAUAUAUAUUUUCAAGCAUAAUACUAUAAUACCUCAGCAUGUUUCACCACAAUUUGAGGAAUGAAACGAACAAGGCUGUAAUGGAAGACAUUAAAGAAGAAGGCCUUUGUUGUUUAGAAGAAGAAGAGAACAUCAAUACAAAAUGUGCCCUAACAAGUGUUGAAGGAAACAAUGUCACAUGGAUAGUUUAUACGAAUAUUUUGGCACAACUAUACAAAAGAAUAUCUGAUUAGUUAAUUUGUUAGACACUAGACUAAUUUCUACUGGUAUAAGUGUAUAUAUUUUGUUUUAUUUUACAUUGUGUUUAAAAGGGAUAAUGAUAAAGUUGCAUUCUACCGUUAAUUAGAGAUUUUGCUGAGUUUUAGAAAUGGUUGAAAAAUCUCUUAUGGUAGUUAGUGCUAUCUACGGAUCUACCUUUA